GCCCCCGUAGCUCAGGGGAUAGAGCAACGGCCUCCGGAGCCGUGUGCGCACGUUCGAAUCGUGUCGGGGGCACCC
rnacentral:tRNA from 1 species